GAAAUCUAAAAAAUGUUCUGCUUAUGCAAAAAAACAAACAAGCAUUAUUAAUACUAAUAAAGAUUGGUCAUACGCAGCCAAAACUAAAACUAAACUUAUGCAAUUAAAAAUAAUGCUGUUGGAAGAAGAACUUAUUUUUAAAA